rnacentral:rRNA from 1 species
UACGUAGGGGGCAAGCGUUGUCCGGAAUCAUUGGGCGUAAAGAGCGUGUAGGCGGCCAGGUAGGUCUGCUGUGAAAACUCGAGGCUCAACCUCGAGAUGUCGGCGGAAACCAUCUGGCUAGAGUCCGGAAGAGGAGAGUAGAAUUCCUGGUGUAGCGGUGAAAUGCGCAGAUAUCAGGAGGAAUACCCGUGGCGAAAGCGGCUCUCUGGGACGGUACUGACGCUGAGACGCGAAAGCGUGGGGAGCAAACAGG